GAUGCUGACGCAACUCCAGGAGAUGGAAAUGCAAGCUAGACUGAAGUCAGAGGUGAUCUUGCUUCCAUGCAUGGGGUUUUAUUUUUUGUUGCUUGACUAGGAUCACAGCCACAUCAAAAGUGUUGGAGAAGGAAAAAAACAAGGCAUGAUUUUUGCCCUUCACGAAAGACCUGUGGAAGUUUUCAGUCUACUUAUGGCAUAGACAUUUUCAUGGUAAUGGACCCACAACUAAGAGCUCCAUGUUCAGGUGUGUGGCAGCUCCUACAGAAACAAGAUAUUUGACUGUUCCUACAGCUCUCCAGCCAAGGUCGGUUGUGGGGUGCUGCUGCUUCACCUGCUCUUGCGGUCACGAGCCAAGAACUAAGGACUGCAUCUUCUUUACACAUAUUGUGACCAUUGGGCUCACUCGGUUAUUAACUCAACUCCAUUCUGCCCACGUGAGCUAGGCAAAGCUGAUAUGAAGCAAGGCUCACAGUUUCCUUAUGGACCUGCUGUGAGCCCUGAGUUUCCUCCCCCAGUGAAACAGGUUUUGUUCAUGGGCUUGAAGCAAGAACAAUACCAAGGACAGUCCCUUUUCUGCCCCAGCCCUCAACUCUGCAAGCACUGUGGACCACCCUGCUGGAUUUGAAGGCAGAAGAGAGCCUAUUGAGGGGAAAUCCUUUCCCUCCCCACCUUGCACAACACCCAAGGCAGACUGACAGGGCUGUGUUACAUACCAUCCACAGAGGAUGAUGAUCAUGGUAUUGCCACCGCUUUCUUCUGCAUGAAGUUCUUUAAAGGUGCAAUUCUCUGUGUAA